rnacentral:rRNA from 1 species
CUGCAGCUCAAGUGGUGACCGUUAUUAUUGGGCCUAAAACGUCCGUAGCCUGUCUAUUAAAUGCCUGGGUAAAUCGUGUAGCUUAACUAUACGAAUUCCGGGUAGACUGAUAGGCUUGAGACCGGGAGAGGCUAGAGGUACUCCUGGGGUAGAGGUGAAAUUCUGUAAUCCUGGGGGGACCACCAGUGGCGAAGGCGUCUAGCUAGAACGGGUCUGACGGUGAGGGACGAAAGCUGGGGGCACGAACCGGAUUAGAUACCCGAGUAGUCC